UGGGUUGCAAAAGAAGUAGGUAGCUUAACCUCCGGGAGGGCGCUUACCACUUUGUGAUUCAUGACUGGGGUGAAGUCGUAACAAGGUAACCGUAGGGGAACCUGCGGUUGGAUCACCUCCUUACCU
rnacentral:rRNA from 1 species